GUUUCCUUAUGAAAAUUAUAGGGACAGAACAACCCAAACCGUACGGAAACUGAUUCAUGUAUGCUACUACAGCGGCAAUAAUUUUACUUGCCAAAAAAUGGAAAGAGGUAGAAGUCCCAGCGAAGGAAGAAUGGAUACAAAAACUUAUGGAAUAUGCAGAAAUAGUGAAACUUACCAGAAAAAAUAAGAAAUCAAUUCUUUUAUAAAAGAAUGGAAAUGGUUUAUUGAAUAUUUACAGAAAAAUUGUAAACAGAUAAGAACAUUGGACUGCCCACCUAGCAGUUCCUGCCCACCUAGCAGUUCGAAAGCACCCCUAAGUGCAAGUAGAUAAAUAGGUACCGCUUUAUAGCGGGAAGGUAAACGGCGUUUCCGUGUGCUGCGCUGGUGCUGGCUCGCCAGAGCAGCUUCGUCACACUGGCCACAUGACCUGGAAGUGUCUGGGGACAGCGCUGGCCCCCAGCCUAUUAAGUGAGAUGGGCGCACAACCCUAGAGUCGGACACGACUGGCCCGUAUGGGCAGGGGUACCUUUACCUUUACCUUUAAGAACAUUGGCAGGAUUAUUGUAAUAACCUAGAGUUUCAUAAGAGUAAAUAUUUGUAGCAGAUGAAUAAAUGAACAAAUUAAGUUAAUAUGGAUAUGUAGAAGAUAUUUUUUUAAAAUUAAGGAACUGCAGAAAGAGGGGGAAGGAAGUCAAGUUUUGAAAUGUUAAAGAAUUUUGUAAAACAUCCAGACGCCUUUUUGUUAGGUAUCUCAAAUCAAGAGCUACCAAAAGAAAAAUGGACAUUAUUUAUGUAUGCUACAACAGUGGCAAGAAUCUUGAUUGCACAAUACAGGAAGAUGGAAGAAAUACCAUCAAAGGAACAAUGGCAAGAAAAACUGAUGAGCUAUGCAGAAUUGGCUAAACUAACAGACAAAUGAUUUUAUUUUUUUUAAAAAAGAACCAUGUAUCAUAAAAAAUGCUUUGAAAGGGGCAUGUAAGAGUGACACUGUUUUGUCUCUGGGGCUUUGCUGCAGAGAUGCACAGAUUAAUCCCUAGGAACCAUUCUUACACUUUAUAUCCCCUUGCUCACAUCCCCUUAGCACUUCUAGUUCUGCUUGUACCCAGCAGGGCACACAGCUUAUGCUUGAAGAACGACAGGUUGCUUCCUUCAAACCUCAAAGAAACAGGAAGCUAAAUGUAAGUACAUGAAGUAAAUAUGGAUAUUCUGUUUGCUGCCCUGAAUGAUGAAUGGUAGAUGAAAGGAAAAUUGAAGGAGUGGGUGGAUGGAAAAAGUGAUAAAUAUAAUGUUAUAUGGCAAGUUAAGAUUCAGGGGAGAAUUUUCAGCAUCCAGCUGGAAAAUAUUUGUAAGGAAAAACAUUUUAAACUUAUCAAAUCUCUCUCUCUCCCCCCCUCUCCCUCUCCCUCCCCCCUCCCCCCCUCAUUCUCUGGUUUCAUUUGCCUCAGUAUUUUAUUUUAUUUUUGUAUUUCUCUAUGCGUCUGUCUCUGAUUCCCCCUCCUCAAAAGAAACUCCCUCACUUCUAAAUCAAACCAGAUCCACAGUAUACAAAAAGGUAGGGUGUGGAUCUAAUCCCUUUGUUAUCCCCCCAUCAUGCACUCUGAUCUUCUUCUGACCUAAGUGCAUUAAGCUGACAUUGUAUUUUUACUCUUUUCCCCUUAGUGAGUGCCUGUUCUCAGAAGGCAUGUUAUUUGUGGGGUUUGCAAACUACAAUCAAGGAGACAGCAUGCUCCAUGUGACAUCUACCAUGCAAUUUCCUUUCAUGCCUCAGCAUGGCCUCAUGUAUUGUGUAAAUAUUGUGGGGAUAGUAAUGGUUAGCAAGACAUACUUCUGCUAAGCAUGUUUUCCAUUCUUAGGCAUCCUAAGCUGUUUCUGUCCAGCUCUCCAUGGUUCGAUAUUUGCCAAACGACUAUUGGUGAGAUUUCUGAUCCAGCAGAAACCAGUCAUUUAAAUCUAUUGAAAUCACAAGGUUUAAAACACUCACAGCUAAAUGGGACUGUGGUUACAGUGAGACUUGAAUGCAACUAUUUUGUGAAUUUUUCGUUCAUCUUAGUUACUGCUGUAAUGUGGAUUUUUCUCAUGGGUCACUAAGGCUACCUUUGCUUACUGUAUAACCUUAGUUGGAUCCUGGCUAUGGUGUCUUACAUGCCCAUCCGGGGUAAUCUUACACUUUAAAAUGUAUGGGAUUUGGGUUUUUUUGUGCUCAGGCAGCUAUGGAUCCAGCUGGGGCUCUGGUGCAGGCAAUCCGGGCUUUGGCUCUGGUGUGGGUGACACUGGCUUUGGCGGCAGCGGAUGGGCUACCAGGUGUUCGGAUUUUUACCUCUGGAAAUAUGGCAAGCCUAAAUUAGUCCUGCUCUAAGAUGGCCUGUUGAAAUGAGUGGGAUGACUAAAUUAGGUGAAUUGAGUUCAGUGAGUCUGCUUUGAGUAAACCUUAGUAGAAUAUAUCCCAUGUGGAGUCCAACUAAUGUUGAUAUGCAGCCUGUCAUUGAUCUCAUUGAUUUAACAACAUAUUAGAUAGAACCAGUGUUUAAUAGAAAAUAUAGAUAUAUCAUCCUUAAGAGGCAGGUAGUUGGAAAGAGAGACAGAGAGUGAGUGGGUGCAUAUGAACAGUGAUGGUGGGUCAGAGCAGUGAUGCCUGCAGCUCAGCAUAGUGUCUCUCCUCUGCCCCAAACAAGCUUGAUGCAGAUGAGAAAUGCACACAGACACUAUGAAAGGCAUGGCUAUUCCUUCUUGUUUCAUUCUGGCAGUCAGAUCUAUACUGCUUCUGAAUAUAAAGCAAAUCAUUCCUAGUUUUAAGGAAAAUACUCAUUUGAGGGAUUAAUGGAGCAACUUACCAGGGAAUAAGCCCUAUUGACAUACUUCUCAGUAGAUGUGGUUAGGGUUUUCAGGCUGCUCUACACAAAGUGGAGAUUUCAGAAGGAAGGGAUAUGUGAAAAUUGAGGGUCAAACUGUUUGUUAUGUAGCUGUGAUGUUAAGUGUAGGGAUUUUUAUUUUUAUUUUACACAAACGGUCAGCAUGCUGCACUCUCUACGUUACAGUUGUCCCUAAAAAUAUCAUUAAGUUGGAAUAUGUCUCCAGACCUUCCAAGUGUCCCUAUUUUCCAGGGACAGUCCUGGAUUUACAGAAGCUGUCCCAGUUUCUGAUUUGAUCCUUGAAUGUCCCAAUUUCCCUUAAGACGUCCCUAUUUUUAUUGGAGAAAUGUUGGAGGGCUUGGAGUUAUGCGACCACCAAUCAAGGAGAUAAGGAACUAUACAACCUUUAGAAUACAUCUGAAGGAAGCCCUGUGUAGGGAAGUUUUAAGAAAAUGUUUACUGUUCUAUUAUAUUUUUAUAUAUGUUUUUAUAUAUGAGGUAAGCAGUCCAGAGUGGCUGGGGCAACCCAGUCAGAUGGGCGUAGUAUAAAUAUUAUUACUAUUAUUAAAUAGGAUGUCACUAUUUUCAUCAGAGAAAUGAUGGAACAUAUGUGUCUCUGAAUACCAGUUGCUGAAGAACAUGAGUGGUACAAUGGUAUUGUGCUUGUGACCUGCAUGUGGACUUCCAAUAGGUAUUGGGUUAGUCAUUGCUAGAUAUGCCUUUGUUCUGCUCCAACUUUGUUCUUUUUGUUCUCUUUGUUCUUUUAAGUAUUGGAUGGAAACAUUUUCUUGCAAUAGUAAAAAUUUUAUAAUAGUCUCUCUUAUUCCCCCAACAGAUUACAAAGACAUGUCUAAUGUAACCAUCAUAAGAGAUUUCCUGCUACUGGGAUUUUCAGAGCAAAGGGAACUCCAGAUCUUACACCUUGCAGUAUUCACAGCAAUGUACAUGGCAAUUCUCAUUGGAAACUUCCUCAUCAUCAUUCUGGUAGCUAGAACUACCCACCUUCAGACCCCAAUGUAUUUCUUUCUUGUCAACUUAUCAAUUGUUGACCUUGGAUCCACAACCGUCACCAUUCCCAGAUCAAUAGCUAAUGCCCUGAUGAACACAACACAUAUUUCUUAUUCUGAAUGUGUUGCACAAAUGCUAUUGUUCCUCUUCUUCAUGUCAUCAGACAUUUUCCUCCUCGCUGUCAUGGCCUAUGACCGGUAUGUGGCCAUCUGUCACCCACUGCACUAUACCUCUGUGAUGAAGUGGGGAAGGUGUAUUCAGCUGGCUGGUGGGGCAUGGGCAGCAGGCUUCCUUAAUGCUGCUUUGCACACAGGUACCAUUUUUUCACUGCCCUUCUGCUCCAACAUCAUCACUCAGUUCUUCUGUGAAAUCCCACACCUGAUGAAGAUCUCAUGUGCUAAUUCGUACUUGAAUGAAAUGUGGCCCCUUCUCUUUAGUUCAGCCUUAGGUCUUGGCUGCUUUGUGCUCAUUGUCACAUCCUAUGUUCAGAUCUUUACUGCAGUGCUGAGAAUGUCCUCAAAAGCAAGUAGACAGAAAGCGUUCUCUACCUGCAUUCCCCACCUCACUGUUGUCUCUCUCUUACUUAGUACAAGUCUCUUUGCCUAUGUCAUGCCACCCUCCAGCCCUUCAUUUAAUCUGGAUGAAGUGCUUGUUGUGAUAUACUCAGUGUUUCCUCCAAUGAUGAACCCGUUAAUUUACAGCAUGAGGAAUAAGGAUGUCAAAACUGCCCUGCGGAAGCUGUUUUACCAGAAACUUCCAAACAAUAAAUCAGUUUCAUAGUUUAAAAACCACCACCACCACUGCCACAUGUGAUUUGAGGUGUUUGCCAUUUCUACCCCUGCUUAAAAUAUCAAGGAAAUGGAAAUUUAAAGUACCUUAAUGUUCACACCAUUUAAGCAGGGAAUACUUUGUCAAGGGUUGUCUAUUAUGCUUGCUUGCAAACUUGGUUCCAUGCAUCCAUACUUUGCCCUGGCUUUUGGGAUGGGGGAGGAGACAUUCAACAGGUGUAGCAGCUUCCUCAGUCACAUGCUUCAUGUAGCCAUGAUGAAUUUUUGCCUGAACACAUCUGUUUAAGGCACUGCUUCCCUGCCACAAUCACAAUUUGUAGAGAAUCUCCAGGCAAGAAUUCUACAGGUUAGCCAGUUUCCCAAUCCCUUGCUACAGAUGUAGAUGAUGAAUUUCUGUCUGAGACAUCCGUACAAGGCACAUUUCUUCCAUCAAAUACCACCUACUAUAGUAAGUGUCUGGGCAGACAGUCAAUAGGUUUAUCCUGAAAAUGUCCAUACUGCAAGCAAGCAAGCAAGUAAGCAAGCAAGCAAAAACAAACAAACAGGAACAGUUGAAGCCAUCUGGGAAGGAGGUGAAGAAAGAUAGUCUGCAUGGAUGAACUGGGGAUUUUAAACCUUCGGACUAAUGCAAAUGACACUAAUCAGGAGACUAUUUUUCACAUAGCUAAUAUUAGUAUAGGGGCGGCACACACAACAGUCUCUUGUGAAUAAAGAAAACAUCAGGCUGCACACAAGUUGGUUGCCAUUCAGGGCAGUAUGCCAGACAGAGUCUUGUAGCAAAAUGAAGUAUUGAGCUAGAUGCAAAGCUAUGGUGCCCCAGAGGGGACAGUCUCCUGUUUGACAGAAUUGAAAAAGACUGUGCCGUUGAAACAGAUUUUUUCCCCAACUGGUGUUCUGCUUUCAGAUUUAUAUUUCUAUUCUCUAACAUUGCUUGCUUGGGGGUUUCAGAGCUGCCUUUGGCUGUAUCUGCAACAGGAUUGUAGUGCACCUCUUUUUAUCUUUAUUGGUGUAGUUUAUGCUAUAUAUAUUGAGUACAAUGUAAUACCUUUAUAUAAUCAAAAUAUAGUUUUUAAACCAGCUGUAUACUCUUCUAUCUUCCGGUGUGCUAGAAAUCUGGCUGCAUGACAUACAUAUAUCAUACCUGCUCUGCACACAAUUUGUGGCCUAUGAAACUGAACUCUGCUCACCAGCCAGGGAUGUGAGGAACCUCCAUUUUAUUCUGGGUCUUAGACAAUGGUGGGGAAUGACAUAGCAUGACAUGACAUAUGGCUAGUUGGCUGGAUUUGUCUGGGGGGUUUCAGAGCUGCCUUUGGCUGCAUCUGUAACAGGAUUGUAGUGCACCUGUGUGAGGUCAUGAUGUGCCCCCAUAGCUUAAAAAAAGAUCACAGUGCUCUGCUGAAGAAAGAACAUUGGUAGACACGUGCAGUGCCUAAAGUUGAACCAAAAUAGAGUUAGUGUGAGUUUUUCAUUGUCUUUUUAAAGAGGUUCAUCUAUCAUUUACAUAAUAAACACAAGAAAGGGGAAAAAAGAGCCUUCCACUGAGAACAGUCCCAGUGCUUUUCAGAUAUGAAUAUUUCUCUUUCAAAUACAAAUACCUUCCAAAAUGUUUUCAUGACUGGUGGGCUAUAGCCAUGUUCUUUUGAAG